ACCCCAAGGACCCGCCAACCUCCUCCUCUCUGGUGCUCAGAUUACGUGCAAGCUCCACCAUGCUCUGCUGUUUACAUGGGUUCUGGGCAUCAACCUCAGGUGUCCUACUUGCAAGGAAAACACUACCACCUGGACGAUACCUCUGGAAUCCACCUGGAUCCCUUCCCCAGUCCUGGGCCUCCUGCAGACAUAAGCACACUGGCCUUCCUGAGUCUCCUCACACACCUGUGCGCAGCUCACUUUGCCCACUGGGGCUCUGGCAUUGCUGGCACAAGAGUUAACCCCCAGGAAAGAAAAGAGCUAAAAAGCUCCAGGACUGCAAGGGAGUCCUAGGGUCUGCUCAGUUCUCCUAGGAGGAAAGAGGUGUUAAGUUUCCACAAGCCUUCUGUCAUCCUUACAGCUAUAACUCCCAUUCUAAGCUUCCUCAGUCCUGACUGCUUAGCAGAUCAAGGGAGGAAUGCAUUUACACACACUGGACUUUGUGUUAGAAGGGGAAAAACACAUUAGCAUAAAAUAUAUAGGGAAGGAAACUCAGUCACUAACAACAGUCAGUCCAAGCAUGUUUUGCCACCAACACACACCAUGUGCCCCAAGCCUGCUCAAAACGUAUCUUCUCCUCUUCACUAAAUGCUCAGGGUUUCUGGUAUUUUUCACAAAUCUCCUAUAUGUUCCCCAUGUCUCCUGGAAGCCUAGUGGCAAUUAAUACAUAAAUUAAGUCAGACUUCCAAAGUCUCACAGUCUCUGAAAACUUGCUUGAGACCACACAGAGGACUGGCUCAUGCAUCCACUCGGUGUCCAUUUAGUUACAGAUUCCUUAGUGUCCACUCCAAUGCCAAGCCUGGCUGUUGUCACAAUACCAGCAAAGUUGCUGGCUUCCCUCAGUGAGGGCUCACUGUUCUCUGAAAAUGCAGCAGGGUUCUUUUAGAGGUGAAAGCUUUAAAAGGGGAUAGGACUGUUUAAAGACACAAAAGGGUAAGGAGAUUUUUUUCUCUGGUUGGUUUUUAUUUUAUUUUAUUUUAGGAGACAAGGUUUCCUCUAGCCCAGGCUGAUUCACAGUUCACUACAUAACAAAGGAGGACCUUGAACUCCUGAUUCUUCUGCCACACUCUCCCUGCUGCUGAAAUUACAAAAAAGCAAAUGAACUUAGCAUCUCUGUGGGUGACGGAUAUGAUGGUGAUGGUGACAGAGGAAAAGAAAGAGGAAGUAUAUGCAAGGAGGCUGAAAUGAAGCUGUUGGUGAAGGGCCCAGCCCCCCUGCUUUAGCAACCAUGACAGGCUGCAGAAAAGACAUGUAGGCCUCUGAUUCAGCACAUGUCUGACCUUGCUGGGCCUGCCCUAGUCACUAGGAGGCCAGGUACCCUCCUCGUGGUAAGGAACCAAUGAGAAGCUGGCUGUCAGGGCUGUGCUUUAUGGCUCUGGGUGUGCUUUACAGUACAAGUGCACAACAGUGACAUGCAGAGCAUAGCAACUGCCCUGGGAGGGCCUACAGGUCAUAACAAGCAGUUGACCAAUCAACACAGGACAUGUCAUCCAAGCCCAGAAGUGCUCCAAUCCUGAGACUGUUGCUUACCCCUAGAUACUCCCCUUGUUCUACCCAAUGUAUUCCCUGCCUCGUGGUUCCCCUGGUUCCUUCUCCAAGCACCUGACUCUAUGAACAGAUGAAAGGCCUAAGCUAAUGGAGUUAUCUCGUUAAAUAAUAAAAGACUUUGCUUUUGCAUCAGAA